CAACUACUCCCUCUGUCCCAAAUUUCUUGUCUUAGAUUUGUCUAGAUACGGAUGUAUCUAAUACUAAAAUGUGACUUGAUACAUCCGUAUCUAGACAAAUCUAAGACAACAAUUUUGGGAUGGAGGGAGUACUUU
rnacentral:pre_miRNA from 1 species